rnacentral:rRNA from 1 species
GACGAACGCUGGCGGCGUGCUUAACACAUGCAAGUCGAACGGAAAGGCCCUGCUUUUGUGUGGUGCUCGAGUGGCGAACGGGUGAGUAACACGUGAGUAACCUGCCCUUGACUUUGGGAUAACUUCAGGAAACUGGGGCUAAUACCGGAUAGGAGCUCCUGCUGCAGGGUGGGGGUUGGAAAGUUUCGGCGGUUGGGGAUGGACUCGCGGCUUAUCAGCUUGUUGGUGGGGUAGUGGCUUACCAAGGCUUUGACGGGUAGCCGGCCUGAGAGGGGGGCCGGCCACAUUGGGACUGAGAUACGGACCAGACUCCUACGGGAGGCAGCAGUGGGGAAUAUUGCACAAUGGGCGGAAGCCUGAUGCAGCAACGCCGCGUGCGGGAUGACGGCCUUCGGGUUGUAAACCGCUUUCGCCUGUGACGAAGCGUGAGUGACGGUAAUGGGUAAAGAAGCACCGGCUAACUACGUG